rnacentral:tRNA from 1 species
AAAAAAUUAGUUAAAUUAUAACAUUAAAUUGUCAAAUUAAAAUCAUUAAUUAAUUAAUAUUUUUUA